rnacentral:rRNA from 1 species
GAUGAACGCUGGCGGCGUGCCUAAUACAUGCAAGUCGAACGAGGUGCUUUUGUAGCAAUACGAGAGUAUCCUAGUGGCGAACGGGUGAGUAACGCGUUGGUGACCUACCCCAAAGUGUGGAAUAACAGUCCGAAAGGAUUGCUAAUACCGCAUGUGGUUAUCGGGUUUAGAAACUGAUAACUAAAGGAGCAAUUCGCUUUGGGAGGGACCUGCGUCCCAUCAGCUAGUUGGUGAGGUAAUGGCUCACCAAGGCUACGACGGGUAGGGGACCUGAGAGGGUGACCCCCCACAAUGGAACUGAAACCCGGUCCAUACACCUACGGGUGGCAGCAGUAGGGAAUAUUGCACAAUGGGCGAAAGCCUGAUGCAGCAACGCCGCGUGCACGAGGAAGGCCUUCGGGUCGUAAAGUGCUUUUCUGGGAGAUGAGAAAGGACAGUAUCCCAGGAAUAAGUCUCGGCUAACUACGUG